rnacentral:rRNA from 1 species
CAUGAAGCCGGAAUUGCUAGUAAUGGCAGGUCAGCAUACUGCCGUGAAUACGUUCCCGGGCCUUGUACACACCGCCCGUCACACCAUGAGAGUUGGGAAUACCCGAAGCCUGUGAGCUAACUAUAUGAGGCAGCAGUCGAAGGUAGAAUCAAUGAUUGGGGUGAAGUCGUAACAAGGUAAC